GACGAACCGUGCGAACGUUAUUCGGAAUCACUGGGCUUAAAGCGCGUGUAGGCGGGACGGCACGUCGGUCGCUGAAAUCCCCGGGCUCAACCUGGGAAUGGCAUUUGGGACUGCAAGGCUGGAGUACGGCAGAGGAGACUGGAAUUCCUGGUGUAGCAGUGAAAUGCGUAGGUAUCAGGAGGAAUACCGAUGGCGAAGGCAGGUCUCUGGGCUGAUACUGACGCUCAUGCACGAAAGCGUGGGGAGCAAACAGG
rnacentral:rRNA from 1 species